rnacentral:rRNA from 1 species
GGUCAUGCCUGGUUAGUACUUGGAUGGGACACCGCCUGGGAAUACCGGGUGCUGUAAGCU